rnacentral:lncRNA from 1 species
AGCAGGGAGAGUGGGGGGGGUGUUUGGGAGUGGUAUCUUGCCUGAUACACCUUAAAAGGUUUGUUUUCAUGUUGUACUCUCACUACUUACACAAUCAGCCUGCUCUCUCUGUGUGGCUGCCAUGACAUGAUGCUGCUGCCGGAGGCUUCGCUGGAGCUUUGCUGCCCCCUGCUGCUCUGCACUAGGAAUGUGAAGUAGUUUUCAAGAGUGGGGCUUCAUUUCAGCCUAGCCAGAAUGCUCCAGCAAGUUUCUACCCUUCCACAUGCCAGUGUGGUGUGGUGGUUAAGAGCGGUAGACUCGUAAUCUGGUGAACCGGGUUCGCGUCUCUGCUCUUCUACAUGCAGCUGCUGGGUGACCUUGGUCCAGUCACACUUCUCUGAAGUCUCUCAGCCCCACUCACCUCACAGAGUGUUUGUUGUGGGGGAGGAAGGGAAAGGAGAAUGUUAGCCGCUUUGAGACUCCUUCAGGUAGUGAUAAAGCGGGAUAUCAAAUCCAAACUCUUGCUCUUCUUCUCUCAUGCUGAUUAUUUCUCCAGGAUUUGGGAGUCUGGGUGGCAGAACGUCCAAACGGUCCCCUGUCCCCAUUCCCAUUAUGAAUCCACUUGCAGAGUGUUUCUGCACAUGCAGCCCAGGAGUGGGAUCUGGGCUUGCAUUUGCUCCUAAUGACACACACUAAAUCCUGAGGAUCCAUGAAAGCUUAGGCUACAAGAUAGCCUUCCCCAGGCUGCUGAUGCCCUCCAGAACAUAGAACAACAGAACAAUAGAAUUGUAGAGUUGGAAGGGAUCACCAAGGGUUAUCUAGUCUAGCCCCCCGCAAUGCAGAGACUGAUGGGAGCUGCCAUCCAAAACAUCCAGAGAGCACCACCAGCCUGGGGAAGAGUGCUGCUCUAUGGAAAUCUAUUAGCCUUUAAGGUGCAACUGGACUCUUAAGGGGAAGGGCUACAGGUCAGCAGUAGGGCAUCUGCUUUUCAUGCAAAUCCCAAGCUCAGUUCCUGGCACCUCCAGGCAGGGUGGGAAAAGCCUGAGGAGCUACUGCCAGUCAGUGCAGAUAGUACUGAGCUAGAUGGACCAGUGCAGCCACACUCAGCAUCCGGCAGCUUCCUACGUUCUUCCGGUUUUUGUUUUCACCUGCCUCAAGGGAAGGUGUCUUCUGUUUCCCUGUCUGAGCAAAGGAGAAAAGACUCCUGGGAAUGUCUCCUGCUCAAGCUCUGUUGAUGGAGCAGGAACUGCACCAGAGACAGGCCCUUCCAGUUAGCCCCCUACCCAGGAGUGAUGGCUCCCUUCCGACACCCCAUGCUCUGCUGGCAGCAUUCGUCAGCAGCAUAUUUCCUUCCAUGGCAGCUGCCACCUGCAUUAACAUAAUUAAUUAUAUUAGGGGCUGGUGGAUUAGCCAAUUAUGAAUGUGCCGAUGUUCUAAUUUUCCUUUAAUUAAUUUGUUUUGUUUACAAUGCAGCAACAUCUGUAGUGUCCCCACUGGACUGUACCAGGAAUGAGGCAGGACGUUUCUCCUGGGAACUGAGGAACUCUUCCGCAUGACAGAACUGUCUUUGAAAAUCCAUCAUUUAUUUCUAGGUUGAUGUUUAAAUACACAUUUGAAGGGGCCAAGCAACUCUUGGCUGCAUCUGCCAGCAGCCAUCCUCUCUUCUGCUCAUCAGCAUCUAUGAAAUUUUCCUGCUUAAUAAAACUUACCAAGCACCCUAUAGCAAGAGUUGCUUUGAACUGCCAUCCGC